rnacentral:rRNA from 1 species
UGGGGAAUAUUGCGCAAUGGGGGCAACCCUGACGCAGCAAUGCCGCGUGAAGGAUGAAGGUUUUCGGAUUGUAAACUUCUUUUAUCAAGGACGAAGGAGUGACGGUACUUGAUGAAUAAGCCACGGCUAACUACGUGCCAGCAGCCGCGGUAAUACGUAGGUGGCAAGCGUUGUCCGGAUUUACUGGGUGUAAAGGGCGAGUAGGCGGGAUUGCAAGUCAGAUGUGAAAUGCCGGGGCUUAACCCCGGAGCUGCAUUUGAAACUGUAGUUCUUGAGUAUCGGAGAGGCAGGCGGAAUUCCCGGUGUAGCGGUGGAAUGCGUAGAUAUCGGGAGGAACACCAGUGGCGAAGGCGGCCUGCUGGACGACAACUGACGCUGAGGAGCGAAAGCGUGGGGAGCAAACAGGAUUAGAUACC